AUACGGGGGGUGCAAGCGUUAUUCGGAUUUAUUGGGCGUAAAGAGCGCGUAGGCGGCUUGGUAAGUCAGAUGUGAAAGCCCGGGGCUCAACCCCGGAAGUGCAUUUGAAACUAUCAGGCUUGAGUAUGGGAGAGGGAAGUGGAAUUCCUGGUGUAGAGGUGAAAUUCGUAGAUAUCAGGAGGAACACCGGUGGCGAAGGCGACUUCCUGGACCAAUACUGACGCUGAGGCGCGAAGGCGUGGGGAGCAAACAGGAUUAGAAACCCGUGUAGUCC
rnacentral:rRNA from 1 species